UAGUCCACGCCGUAAACGAUGUGUGCUAGUCGUUGGGGCCCUUAGGGCUUCAGUGACGCCGCUAACGCAUUAAGCACGCCGCCUGGGGAGUACGGCCGCAAGGUUAAAACUCAAAGGAAUUGACGGGGACCCGCACAAGCGGUGGAGCAUGUGGUUUAAUUCGACGCAACGCGAAGAACCUUACCAGGACUUGACAUCCCGAUCGCAGGGCACAGAGAUGAGCCCCUUCAGUUCGGCUGGAUCGGUGACAGGUGCUGCACGGCUGUCGUCAGCUCGUGUCGUGAGAUGCUUGGUUAAGUCCAGCAACGAGCGCAACCCCUAUUGUUAGUUGCCAGCAUUUAGUUGGGCACUCUAGCAAGACUGCCGGUGAUAAGCCGGAGGAAGGUGGGGGACGACGUCAAGUCAUCAUGGCCCUUACGUCCUGGGGCUACACACGUGCUACAA
rnacentral:rRNA from 1 species